ACUUCUGACAUGGCAGCGCAUGAGAGAGAAAGAAAGGCAGCUAGAGAAAACAACCCCUGUCAAAAGCACCUAACCACUGAUAUCAUGCCACGUGGAUGAUCCAGAGCUCACGUUGCCCAAAUUCUCCUUUGAGCUUUUCUUUUCUUUUUUCUUUUUUUUCUUUUUUCUUUAUUUUCCCUUUCAUUUUCCAUCUUCCCAAUCUUGGAAAUAUCUUCUCAUAAAGAGAAAGGAAGAGAUACAACAAUGGCCGACUUGGGUUUUCGAUGAUUACCGUUUUUGGUAUCAUUUCUGCUUCUGUGCGGCUGUGUUUUGGUCGGUAGAAGUCUAUAGAUGCCAUAGUCUUC
rnacentral:misc_RNA from 1 species